rnacentral:rRNA from 1 species
AGAGUUUGAUCCUGGCUCAGGAUGAACGCUGGCGGCGUGCUUAACACAUGCAAGUCGAGCGAAGCGCUUAAGUUUGAUUCUUCGGAUGAAGACUUUUGUGACUGAGCGGCGGACGGGUGAGUAACGCGUGGGUAACCUGCCUCAUACAGGGGGAUAACAGUUAGAAAUGACUGCUAAUACCGCAUAAGACCACGGUACCGCAUGGUACAGUGGUAAAAACUCCGGUGGUAUGAGAUGGACCCGCGUCUGAUUAGGUAGUUGGUGGGGUAACGGCCUACCAAGCCGACGAUCAGUAGCCGACCUGAGAGGGUGACCGGCCACAUUGGGACUGAGACACGGCCCAGACUCCUACGGGAGGCAGCAGUGGGGAAUAUUGCACAAUGGAGGAAACUCUGAUGCAGCGACGCCGCGUGAAGGAUGAAGUAUUUCGGUAUGUAAACUUCUAUCAGCAGGGAAGAAAAUGACGGUACCUGACUAAGAAGCCCCGGCUAACUACGUGCCAGCAGCCGCGGUAAUACGUAGGGGGCAAGCGUUAUCCGGAUUUACUGGGUGUAAAGGGAGCGUAGACGGCACGGCAAGCCAGAUGUGAAAGCCCGGGGCUCAACCCCGGGACUGCAUUUGGAACUGCUGAGCUAGAGUGUCGGAGAGGCAAGUGGAAUUCCUAGUGUAGCGGUGAAAUGCGUAGAUAUUAGGAGGAACACCAGUGGCGAAGGCGGCUUUCUGGACUGUAACUGACGUUGAGGCGCGAAAGCGUGGGGAGCAAACAGGAUUAGAUACCCUGGUAGUCCACGCUGUAAACGAUGGAUACUAGGUGUCGGGGGUAUCGAGCCCCUCGGUGCCGGAGUAAACACAAUAAGUAUCCCACCUGGGGAGUACGACCGCAAGGUUGAAACUCAAAGGAAUUGACGGGGGCCCGCACAAGCAGUGGAGUAUGUGGUUUAAUUCGAAGCAACGCGAAGAACCUUACCAGGACUUGACAUCUCCUGCAUAAACGUAAAAGUGUAAAUCUCUUCGGAGACAGGAAGACAGGUGGUGCAUGGUUGUCGUCAGCUCGUGUCGUGAGAUGUUGGGUUAAGUCCCGCAACGAGCGCAACCCUUGUUGUUAGUUGCCAGCAGUAAGAUGGGCACUCUAACAAGACUGCCGUUGAGAAAACGGAGGAAGGUGGGGACGACGUCAAAUCAUCAUGCCCCUUAUGUUCUGGGCAACACACGUACUACAAUGGAUGGGAACAAAGGGAAGCAAAGCCGCGAGGCGGAGCAAACCCCCAAAACCAUUCUCAGUUCGGAUUGCGGGCUGCAACUCGCCCGCAUGAAGAUGGAAUUGCUAGUAAUCGCAGAUCAGCAUGCUGCGGUGAAUACGUUCCCGGGCCUUGUACACACCGCCCGUCACACCAUGAGAGUCGGAAACACCCGAAGUCUGUAGUCUAACCGCAAGGGGGACGCAGCCGAAGGCGGGUUCGAUAAUUGGGGUGAAGUCGUAACAAGGUA